UACGGAGGGGGCUAGCGUUGUUCGGAAUUACUGGGCGUAAAGCGCGCGUAGGCGGCUUUGUAAGUUAGAGGUGAAAGCCCGGAGCUCAACUCCGGAAUUGCCUUUAAGACUGCAUCGCUAGAAUCAUGGAGAGGUUAGUGGAAUUCCGAGUGUAGAGGUGAAAUUCGUAGAUAUUCGGAAGAACACCAGUGGCGAAGGCGACUACCUGGCCUGUUCUUGACGCUGAGGCGCGAAAGCUAGGGGAGCAAACGGG
rnacentral:rRNA from 1 species